GGGGAUAUAACUCAGUUGGUAGAGUGCUUGCCUUGCAUGCACAAGGCCCUGGGUUCAAUCCCCAGUAUCACCA
rnacentral:tRNA from 1 species